GAGAGGGAAGAGCCCAAGAUUGAAAGCUGGCGUCUUCGGCGUCCGCAUUGUAAUCUCAAGAAGUGUUUUCCGCUUCGGACCAUGCCUAAGUCCCUUGGAAAAGGGCAUCAUAGAGGGUGAUAAUCCCGUACAUGGCAUGGAGCGCCCGUAGCUUUGUGAUACGCUUUCUAAGAGUCGAGUUGUUUGGGAAUGCAGCUCAAAAUGGGUGGUAAAUGCCAUCUAAGGCUAAAUAUUGGGGAGAGACCGAUAGCGAACAAGUACAGUGAUGGAAAGAUGAAAAGAACUUUGAAAAGAGAGUUAAACAGUACGUGAAAUUGCCAAAAGGGAAGGGUAGGAGGUCAGAGAUGCGUUCUGGGAUUCAGCCUUGCUUUUGCUUGGUGUUUUUCCCAGAUUGCAGGCCAACGUCGGUUUUGGGCGCCGGAGAAGGGUGGAAGGAAUGUGGCACCUCUCGGGGUGUGUUAUAGCCUUCUACUGGAUACAGUGACCGAGACCGAGGACAGCAGCGUACUCGCAAGAGCGGGCCUUCGGGCACCUUUACGCUUAGGGCGUUGGCAUAAUGGCCCUCUACCACCCGUCUUGA
rnacentral:rRNA from 1 species